GAAGCAAUUCCCCCCAAAAAUAGCCUAAACAACCGGGAUUCGGGAAUAAUUUGAGAACGUUGGAGAAAAGUUGUUUGCUGGGAAUAUAGUUUUCAUUUAUGUCAAGUGUUUUCGUCGCUACAUCAUUCCCACUUUUUUUUUUAAUUAUUAUUUGUUUUUAGUUAUUUCAGAUAACUAAAGAUUUUCUAAUAACAACAUUUCCACAAGAAAUGUGAACACUUGCAUUUGUAAACACAAACACUGCCGAAUUAAUUUGUGCAUCUCAUUAAUCCACACAAACUCAUCAUCCUCAUCCUCAGAUGUGGACGUGUUGGAGCGAUUGUUCGGUUUGGCGCCUCCCUCUUCUGUUUCACAUGGACAGAAGAACUUCCUGUUGACGUUCCUUGCGUCCUGACAAUAGAUACUGCACUCCGAGUUUCUUCAGGCUUUUAGAUAGAAAACAGAAACUGAUUCAUAUGACAAUAUCAAACUCGAACGCGAACGAACGCUCAUCUGUGAGGAGACACUUCCCGCGCGCUGGAUUAAAAGUUCGAUCGCAGUUGGAGCGACUUUUCCAAGCAUUUCCAAAGAGGAAUGCCGUUCCGGUCGGUUGUCUUGGUGUUUUAGACGGUAAAUAAACCGUCUUUCUCUCGGUAUGGCGGAGGCACGCGCUGAGGAGGACGAGGAGCGUUUGCGCGAGCCCGGCGGCGCGAGACGGAACGCAGAACAUUCAGAUAGAAACAAACCCGAUCAGCGCCACUCCAGCCAAGGGCCGCUUUCCUCCAUCAGAGCCGUCAUCAAACGCACAUCAGCGAGAACAAGCUCUCAGAGUGACCAUCAGCGAGACCGCAGCAGGCGUCCAGAAAUCACCAUCCUCUCUGCUGAACCACUGCCGUCCAAUACAUGGUUCCCAGGGGCUUCUGGGGCGUUUCCUCCAGCCCCGCCCCCAGCCCCACCCACAUGGGCUGCAGGCUCGGCGACAGUUCAGCUCCCGCCUCCAUCCUACGAGCAGGUGAUCCGAGAAAAGAGCCGUGAGCAGAAUCUUCACUCCUCUUCGUCAUCUUCGUCUCCAACUUCUCGUCACUCUACCUCCACCAUCGCCACGCAGACGGACACAAACUCCUCCGGCCCACAGUCCUCUGCUGCUCGUCCAGUUCGUAGGCCACCCAAACCCCAACGGCCCUCACUGCCCCUCAAACACACGCAUGAAGUGGACCGGUCUAAUGCGAACGCCGGUGCUCAGCCUCGAGAUGCUCUGCGCGAACAGUGUGGUGUCCAGACAGACUUCGAUGACAUCUUUGAUGACAUCUCUCCCAUAGGCCCCGCCCCCACUGCCAUCACUUUCACCCAGAUCAACCUCGAUUCCCCAGGCGACCCGAUGAAAGAGGAGCCCAGCGUUCGUCCCAGACCUCGGCCGCGCUCCAGGGUCGCCCUACGGCCCAACGAGGACGUUCUGGACCUGCCGAUGACGAGGGAGGUCAAAGUUCAGACUCUGGUGCGUCUGAAGGACGACGGGGCCGAGAAUGUGUUCGCCGGGUUCGACGAUGCUCCGUCAAACAUCUCCAGCAAAUACCUGCAAGACCUGCUGGAGGUGUUUGGUUCGGACGAAACGCAUGUCCAGCAUGGAGAAAGUCAACAAAGCAAUGCAAGGACGGUAGAAGAAGAGGAAAAUAUGGCCAUUUGCGAUGCUCCAUGUGCCGUUAUAACACCUGAACCAGUAGAACCGUUAAAUAGACCACAACCGCGACCUAGAACGCAGAAAUCCAGACCUCAGCUCGCCCCAAAACCAUCUGUCUUUGAGGUUUUUGAUACCAGUGAACCUACCGUUGAGCAAAACCCGUCCAAACCCCUGAGUCCACCAGUACCAGCACCCAGACCCCUUCUGAACAAACUCCAGAGUCCAUCAGAGUCCAGAUCUUCUCCAUCCGCCAAACCUUCACCAGCCGCCCGUCCUAACAGUGCUCCUCCCGGGCAGCAGAUGGCAGCGGUGGCCUCCAUGCCGUCCGAGAGGAGAAAUUCAGAUGAUCAAACUACAAACACUCCAGUGAAAACAGCACCAGUGAUGUUGACUGACAGGAACGUUGGAAAACGUCCGUCGGCACCCAAACACUCCCGUCCGCCUCCACCUGUGCUCAGGAAGACCCCGUCUACCUCACAGGCUGCGGUGGAUGUUUCGAGAGCUCCUGAUGCCUCCAUUCCUUCUCUUCCUCCGAGACCCAGUGGCGGCAGACUCCUCCCACUCCGCCCUCCUCCAAUAAAAGUGACCAAACUUCCAGGCUCCUCCUCCUCCCCUGCUGCGACCAAUCAGCUGCCAGGCAACAGGGUGCCAAAGAGAGGCCCGCCCCUCCCACCCCGCCCCAAACCAGGACAUCCUCUUUACAAGCGCUAUUCUAGCAAAGUUCAAAGAGAUGCAGAGCUGGAGAAUAUCAGCAAAGAGCAAGAGGAACCACCUGAGGAAACAUCUUUGCAUGAAGAAGAGCACCUGAUUGUCCUGGAUGAUAUAGAUGUCCCAAAAACACCGUCAAACCCACUCCACGACCUCUGCUCGCCAGGAGAGGUCAAAGGUCAAGAUGUGACUGUCAGUGAGCUUCUGCUGGACGACGAACCCUCGGAGCAGCAGAUCCAACAAAACACACAGAAUAGGUGUGUCGUGGCCCGUUUUGCAUUCGAGGGGGAGGAGGGCGAGCUGUCCUUCGCUGAGGGUGAUGUCAUCACUCUAAUAGAAUAUGUAAAUGAGGAGUGGGGGCGUGGCCUCCUGAACGGACAGACGGGAAUCUUCCCCCUCAGCUUCAUCCAGGCUAUAGAGGAAACUGAAGCGUUGCCAAGGAAACCGGCUCUGGAAUCUCCCGCGCCCCCUGCAGGAGCGAGAACCACAGGACGAGCACUUUAUGAUUUCACUCCUGAGUGUGAGGACGAGCUCUGUCUGAAGGAAGGAGACGUGGUGUGUGAUUUGGAGGACAUGGAUGCUGAGUGGUUCCUCGGAGAAUCCGGUGGGAAACGUGGCAUCGUCCCCAAAAACUACAUCCAAGUGCUGCUGGACCCCUGAACAUGGGCCGUUUUGUCAUGUGCCUGAUGAGCGUUUCUGCAUUUGCCUUAAUUAGAUGUAAUACAGUUAAACGAGUCAAACUUUCCUUCAUGCACAGCAGUUUUUGACAUCUUCUGUACAUUCAAUUUCAGGAUUCUAGACGUUUCAACUUUUCAGAAUUUAUUCAUAAUUUACUGGAUAAGGAUUCAUAAAAAAUAUUUUUUACU